GCCGGAGUGGUGAAAUCGGUAGACGCACUGGACUCAAAAUCCAGCGGGCCCUAGGCCCAUGUCGGUUCGAGUCCGACCUCCGGCA
rnacentral:tRNA from 1 species